rnacentral:rRNA from 1 species
GAUGAACGCUGGCGGCGUGCCUAAUACAUGCAAGUCGAGCGAACGGACGAGAAGCUUGCUUCUCUGAUGUUAGCGGCGGACGGGUGAGUAACACGUGGAUAACCUACCUAUAAGACUGGGAUAACUUCGGGAAACCGGAGCUAACACCGUAUGAUAUUUUGAACCGCAUGGUUCAAAAGUGAAAGACGGUCUUGCUGUCACUUAUAGAUGGAUCCGCGCUGCAUUAGCUAGUUGGUAAGGUAACGGCUUACCAAGGCAACGAUGCAUAGCCGACCUGAGAGGGUGAUAGGCCACACUGGAACGGAUACACGGUCCAGACUCCUACGGGAGGCAGCAGUAGGGAAUCUUACGCAAUGGGCGAAAGCCUGACGGAGCAACGCCGCGCGAGUGAUGAAGGUCUUCGGAUCGUAAAACUCUGUUAUUAGGGAAGAACAUAUGUGUAAGUAACUGUGCACAUCUUGACGGUACCUAAUCAGAAAGCCACGGCUAACUACGUG